rnacentral:rRNA from 1 species
AUGCACGAAAGUGUGGUAAGGGAAUCCCAAGUGCUCAACUUAUGGUUGGGCUUUUGUCAAGUGUAAAUAGCUUGGCGAAUAAGUGGUGGGUAAGACGGGUGCCAGCCGCCGCGGUAACACCUGCGCCACAAGUGGCAAUCACGAUUAUUGGGCCUAAAGCGUCCGUAGUUGGACAAGUAAAUUUUCUGUGAAAUCGUCGGACUCAAUUCGACGAAUUGCAAAAAAGACUGCUUGUCUUGAGACCGGGAGGGGUCAGAGGUAUUGUUAGGGGACUGGUAAAAUGGGAUAAUCCUAACAAGACCACCAGUGGCGAAGGCGUCUGACCAGAACGGCUCUGACAAUGAGGGACGAAAGCCAGGGGAGCGAACGGGAUUAGAUACCCCGGUAGUCCUGGCCGUAAACGCUGCGAGCUAGGUGUUGCACAUUCUUCGAGAAUGUGCAGUGUCGAAACGAAGGUGUUAAGCUCGCCGCCUGGGAAGUACGGUCGCAAGGCUGAAACUUUAAGGAAUUGGCGGGGGAGCAC